GGUCACAUCACUUUGAAACCCCCGAUUCCCGUACGUUCACCGAAGUUAAGCAAUGUCGAUAUUGGUCAGUACCAUGAUGGGUGAUCGUUUGGGAAUACCAA